GAUGUCUUGUGGACACAAACGUUUCUCUUCUGAGACAGUUUGGAUGAGUGUCUGUCCCCAUUUCUCUGUGCUUUGUUACAGAGACUUAAGACUGGAUGAAUUUGGUGCCAGAGAGAGAAGACUGAAGCAUGAACAGCAUCGACAGUUAUUUCUCGCCCAUGUCAAUAAAGUCAGGAGCUCAACAGGGUGGACCAGACGUAGGAAAGCUUCCUUCACUGUGAACCAGCAUUCUAUGGCUCCCUCAUUCCAGGACCCGGCUCCCAUCACUAUGCGGCUCUGGUGGAGACUGCCAGUUCAUGCCCCCAAGUCCAAGGUCCUGGAAUCCUGGAGACACUGACUCUGCCUCUGCCCAAGGUUCAUAGCUCAGCUCAGCUCCACUUGAAGCUCGGCCAAAGGAACACUUGUUCUUACCAGUGGCUUUCACUGCAUCUCUACUCUGUGCCUCUGCCCUGGGCUCGGCACAUUCUCUUCCUUUGGCAAAAACUCCGAAGAAGUCUACCCACCUCACAAGGCUCAGCAGCAAAGCUUCCUCCUCCCGGAAGCUGCAUUUUGUUUUUCUUGGGGCGGGAUGGUAAGAACUUCUUUGUUCCCCACGAGGAGAAGGCAAGCUUCCCCAGAGCAGGCUGCACCGGCUUAUCCGCAGCAUCUGUAAUAGCACUGUUAGCGCCAGCCUCCUCGGGGGCUCAGAGAACAUCUGAAGAACAGAGUGCAGAGUGAAGCCAGGGCGCCAUAGGAAAAAACCAGAAACAAAUGUCAAACAGCCUUGAAUUGUGCAUGGCUCGUGGAUGAUCUGCUGGGUAUGCUGGAACUCAUAAAGUUGGCUAGGCUGUUUACAGCUUGUGGGAACAAGCAUUUGAGCUCCUUUUGAAUAUACAAAUGUAGGGUCUGCCAACAGGAGUCCCUCCUGGGCUUGUGUUUGGGGGAGAUGGGAAGCUGAGAGGUAUGGAGUUGGUACUGAUAAAGAUUGCUGUCUUCUCUCAGGACUUACUUUUUAAAUCUUGUUUUCCUUUUUGAAAGAACCAGGUUGGGAUUAUAGCUCAGUUAAUAACAUACUCGACUUACAUAA
rnacentral:lncRNA from 1 species